rnacentral:tRNA from 1 species
GCAGACGUGGCCCAGUCUGGUAGAGGCACUUGGAUGGAAUCCAAGAGGUCGGACGUUCAAAUCGUCUCGUCUGCA